rnacentral:rRNA from 1 species
UACGUAGGGGGCGAGCGUUGUCCGGAAUUAUUGGGCGUAAAGAGCGUGUAGGCGGUUCGGUAAGUCUGUCGUGAAAACCUGGGGCUCAACCCCAGGCGUGCGGUGGAUACUGCUGGGCUAGAGGAUGGUAGAGGCGAGUGGAAUUCCCGGUGUAGCGGUGAAAUGCGUAGAUAUGUGGAGGAACACCGAUGGCGAAGGCAGCCCCCUGGGAUGUGACUGACGCUCAUGUACGAAAGCGUGGGGAGCAAACAGG